rnacentral:miRNA from 1 species
UAGCCAAGGAGACUGCCCAUG